rnacentral:rRNA from 1 species
UACGGGGGGGGCAAGCGUUGUUCGGAAUUACUGGGCGUAAAGGGCUCGUAGGCGGCCAACUAAGUCAGACGUGAAAUCCCUCGGCUUAACCGGGGAACUGCAUCUGAUACUGGAUGGCUUGAGUGCAGAAGAGGAGAGUGGAAUUCCACGUGUAGCGGUGAAAUGCGUAGAGAUGUGGAGGAACACCAGUGGCGAAGGCGGCAUCCUGGACCGAUAUUGACGCUGAUGCGCGAAAGCCAGGGGAGCAAACGGG